GAUUUGAAUUUAUUCUAUUAUAUUAUACAGUAUUCCAAUUUUUCUAAUUUCUUCUGGAUGCGAAAAUGAUACUGAAAAUAGAAGAUAAAUGUAUAAAUAUGUGUUUUUCUCAUACUAUUUUUAAACAUCGGUUUGAAGAUCAUAAUUUAUAAAUUCCAAACCUCAUCAUAAUUUUGAGACAUGAAAGUAAUACUAUGAAAGAUAAAUUCUUAGACACGACGAUGCCUUCUCUAAUACCAGUCCGAAGAUCAUGAUUCAAACAUUUUAAAAUUCAAGCAAUAAGAACAAAGGUCUUAGUUCAACAAAUCGUUUCAGAGAUACGAUCAUCCGGAGAUAAUCGAUGAGAUCCAAGCGUUGGGAGCGAGUUAGAAGUGAAAAUCUAUGACGUAUUAAUGACGUCAUAUGUACUAUUGGAACGCUUCGAAGUGCCAAGUGGACCGGAUAAAACGACGUUCCAAACAAUUCGGAGCAUUUGUAGCGCUAAGUGGACCGCACUCAUUAAGGUCCAUCUACAAUGGAGUAAGACUGCACGAAAAGGAACCAAUCACAGAUGAUGCUGGUAAUAAGACAAGGCGUGCGAAAAAUAUAUUUGCCGAUGACUGUGUCAACAUACAUUGUACAAGUGCAUUUUGUGCAAUAUAAUUUGUAAAUGAUAUAUGAAUAAAUGAAUGAUGAAUAUUGUGUGGCAUUGAUGAUAUUGAAGAAUAUGAAGAUGUUGGAGUCAAAUUACAAUUAAAUAUUAAAAAGAACUUAUUGACAUUGUUAAAAUUAAUCCUUCGUGAGACAAACGACAAAAGACAUAUUCUGGCAAGAAAUUUAAUAAAAAACUUGCAUGGGCUUCUGUGGCUGCAAUGCUCGGAGAUAUGUCUGAUCCAGAUGCUGAAAAGGAACUUUAUAAGAUACGACAGACGGAAAGGAACGACGAAAAGUUAUUACCUUAAAAUGUUAUCCUUAAAGUUAUCCUUAAAAGGAAAAUCUGGGUGCACAACCCAUAUAUGUUCCUAAAUGGCAAUUGAAAUAUGUGAUAGUUUUCUUUCGUAUAGUUAUUAUAUCAUAUCAUAUCUCAAAAAUAUGUUGAUUAUCUAUCUCAAGUAUGAUGUCAAAACAUUAUCAUUCAGAGCAAUAUUAUAAAUUAUAUAUUAUUGUUGACAGAAGUAACAGUAAUUAUAUGAAGACUACAUCUUUAAAAUCAAAUCAAUGUAGUCAACCGCACAAUUUCAAAUAUUUGUGUCACAAAUUAUGAAACUCACAAUUAUAUUACAACUACACAGACGCUAACUGUGCACUAGAUUUGUAUGCAUCAUUAUCUAGUAUGUGUUGCAUUAUGUGAUGAAUAAUAUAAAAAAUAUGC